UACGUAGGGUCCGAGCGUUGUCCGGAAUUACUGGGCGUAAAGCGUGCGUAGACGGUUAUGUAAGUCAGAUGUGAAAGCCCCGGGCUUAACCUGGGAAUGGCAUUUGAGACUGCAUAGCUAGGGUGCGGAAGAGGGAAGCGGAAUUUCCGGUGUAGCGGUGAAAUGCGUAGAUAUCGAGAGGAACACCAGUGGCGAAGGCGACUACCUGGCCUGUUCUUGACGCUGAGGCGCGAAAGCUAGGGGAGCAAACGGG
rnacentral:rRNA from 1 species